rnacentral:snRNA from 1 species
CUUGUCAUUGAUGGAAUGGAGCU